UACGAAGGGGGCGAGCGUUGUUCGGAUUUACUGGGCGUAAAGGGCGCGCAGGCGGUUUUGUAAGCCAGAUGUGAAAUCCCCGGGCUUAACCUGGGAACUGCAUUUGUGACUGCAUCGCUGGAGUGCGGCAGAGGGGGAUGGAAUUCCGCGUGUAGCAGUGAAAUGCGUAGAUAUGCGGAGGAACACCGAUGGCGAAGGCAAUCCCCUGGGCCUGCACUGACGCUCAUGCACGAAAGCGUGGGGAGCAAACAGG
rnacentral:rRNA from 1 species